rnacentral:rRNA from 1 species
GAUGAACGCUGGCGGCGUGCCUAAUACAUGCAAGUCGAGCGAACAGACGAGGAGCUUGCUCCUCUGACGUUAGCGGCGGACGGGUGAGUAACACGUGGAUAACCUACCUAUAAGACUGGGAUAACUUCGGGAAACCGGAGCUAAUACCGGAUAAUAUAUUGAACCGCAUGGUUCAAUAGUGAAAGACGGUUUUGCUGUCACUUAUAGAUGGAUCCGCGCCGCAUUAGCUAGUUGGUAAGGUAACGGCUUAUCAAGGCAACGAUGCGUAGCCGACCUGAGAGGCUGAUCGGCCACACUGGAACUGGGACACGGUCCAGACUCCUACGGGAGGCAGCAGUAGGGAAUCUUCCGCAAUGGGCGAAAGCCUGACGGAGCAACGCCGCGUGAGUGAUGAAGGUCUUCGGAUCGUAAAACUCUGUUAUUAGGGAAGAACAAAUGUGUAAGUAACUAUGCACGUCUUGACGGUACCUAAUCAGAAAGCCACGGCUAACUACGUG